rnacentral:tRNA from 1 species
GGAGGGCUAGUCUAAUUGGUAAGGCAGCGGACUUGAAAUCCGCCGGGUGAUAAGCCCUUCGGGGUUCGAAUCCCCGGCCCUCCG